rnacentral:rRNA from 1 species
AGAACCUGAAACCGUGUACGUACAAGCAGUGGGAGCACAGAGCAAUCUGUGUGACUGCGUACCUUUUGUAUAAUGGGUCAGCGACUUAUAUUCUGUAGCAAGGUUAACCGAAUAGGGGAGCCGAAGGGAAACCGAGUCUUAACUGGGCGUUAAGUUGCAGGGUAUAGACCCGAAACCCGGUGAUCUAGCCAUGGGCAGGUUGAAGGUUGGGUAACACUAACUGGAGGACCGAACCGACUAAUGUUGAAAAAUUAGCGGAUGACUUGUGGCUGGGGGUGAAAGGCCAAUCAAACCGGGAGAUAGCUGGUUCUCCCCGAAAGCUAUUUAGGUAGCGCCUCGUGAAUUCAUCUCCGGGGGUAGAGCACUGUUUCGGCAAGGGGGUCAUCCCGACUUACCAACCCGAUGCAAACUGCGAAUACCGGAGAAUGUUAUCACGGGAGACACACGGCGGGUGCUAACGUCCGUCGUGAAGAGGGAAACAACCCAGACCGCCAGCUAAGGUCCCAAAGUCAUGGUUAAGUGGGAAACGAUGUGGGAAGGCCCAGACAGCCAGGAUGUUGGCUUAGAAGCAGCCAUCAUUUAAAGAAAGCGUAAUAGCUCACUGGUCGAGUCGGCCUGCGCGGAAGAUGUAACGGGGCUAAACCAUGCACCGAAGCUGCGGCAGCGACGCUGAUGCGUUGUUGGGUAGGGGAGCGUUCUGUAAGCCUGUGAAGGUGUGCUGUGAGGCAUGCUGGAGGUAUCAGAAGUGCGAAUGCUGACAUAAGUAACGAUAAAGCGGGUGAAAAGCCCGCUCGCCGGAAGACCAAGGGUUCCUGUCCAACGUUAAUCGGGGCAGGGUGAGUCGACCCCUAAGGCGAGGCCGAAAGGCGUAGUCGAUGGGAAACAGGUUAAUAUUCCUGUACUUGGUGUUACUGCGAAGGGGGGACGGAGAAGGCUAUGUUGGCCGGGCGACGGUUGUCCCGGUUUAAGCGUGUAGGCUGGUUUUCCAGGCAAAUCCGGAAAAUCAAGGCUGAGGCGUGAUGACGAGGCACUACGGUGCUGAAGCAACAAAUGCCCUGCUUCCAGGAAAAGCCUCUAAGCAUCAGGUAACAUCAAAUCGUACCCCAAACCGACACAGGUGGUCAGGUAGAGAAUACCAAGGCGCUUGAGAGAACUCGGGUGAAGGAACUAGGCAAAAUGGUGCCGUAACUUCGGGAGAAGGCACGCUGAUAUGUAGGUGAAGUCCCUCGCGGAUGGAGCUGAAAUCAGUCGAAGAUACCAGCUGGCUGCAACUGUUUAUUAAAAACACAGCACUGUGCAAACACGAAAGUGGACGUAUACGGUGUGACGCCUGCCCGGUGCCGGAAGGUUAAUUGAUGGGGUUAGCGCAAGCGAAGCUCUUGAUCGAAGCCCCGGUAAACGGCGGCCGUAACUAUAACGGUCCUAAGGUAGCGAAAUUCCUUGUCGGGUAAGUUCCGACCUGCACGAAUGGCGUAAUGAUGGCCAGGCUGUCUCCACCCGAGACUCAGUGAAAUUGAACUCGCUGUGAAGAUGCAGUGUACCCGCGGCAAGACGGAAAGACCCCGUGAACCUUUACUAUAGCUUGACACUGAACAUUGAGCCUUGAUGUGUAGGAUAGGUGGGAGGCUUUGAAGUGUGGACGCCAGUCUGCAUGGAGCCGACCUUGAAAUACCACCCUUUAAUGUUUGAUGUUCUAACGUUGACCCGUAAUCCGGGUUGCGGACAGUGUCUGGUGGGUAGUUUGACUGGGGCGGUCUCCUCCUAAAGAGUAACGGAGGAGCACGAAGGUUGGCUAAUCCUGGUCGGACAUCAGGAGGUUAGUGCAAUGGCAUAAGCCAGCUUGACUGCGAGCGUGACGGCGCGAGCAGGUGCGAAAGCAGGUCAUAGUGAUCCGGUGGUUCUGAAUGGAAGGGCCAUCGCUCAACGGAUAAAAGGUACUCCGGGGAUAACAGGCUGAUACCGCCCAAGAGUUCAUAUCGACGGCGGUGUUUGGCACCUCGAUGUCGGCUCAUCACAUCCUGGGGCUGAAGUAGGUCCCAAGGGUAUGGCUGUUCGCCAUUUAAAGUGGUACGCGAGCUGGGUUUAGAACGUCGUGAGACAGUUCGGUCCCUAUCUGCCGUGGGCGCUGGAGAACUGAGGGGGGCUGCUCCUAGUACGAGAGGACCGGAGUGGACGCAUCACUGGUGUUCGGGUUGUCAUGCCAAUGGCACUGCCCGGUAGCUAAAUGCGGAAGAGAUAAGUGCUGAAAGCAUCUAAGCACGAAACUUGCCCCGAGAUGAGUUCUCCCUGACUCCUUGAGAGUCCUGAAGGAACGUUGAAGACGACGACGUUGAUAGGCCGGGUGUGUAAGCGCAGCGAUGCGUUGAGCUAACCGGUACUAAUGAACCGUGAGGCUUAACCUUACAACGCCGAAGGUGUUU